AGAGUUUGAUCCUGGCUCAGGAUGAACGCUAGCUACAGGCUUAACACAUGCAAGUCGAGGGGAAACGAUAUUGGAAGCUUGCUUCCGAUAGGCGUCGACCGGCGCACGGGUGAGUAACGCGUAUCCAACCUGCCCACCACUUGGGGAUAACCUUGCGAAAGUAAGACUAAUACCCAAUGAUAUCUCUAGAAGACAUCUGAAAGAGAUUAAAGAUUUAUCGGUGAUGGAUGGGGAUGCGUCUGAUUAGCUUGUUGGCGGGGUAACGGCCCACCAAGGCAACGAUCAGUAGGGGUUCUGAGAGGAAGGUCCCCCACAUUGGAACUGAGACACGGUCCAAACUCCUACGGGAGGCAGCAGUGAGGAAUAUUGGUCAAUGGACGAGAGUCUGAACCAGCCAAGUAGCGUGCAGGAAGACGGCCCUAUGGGUUGUAAACUGCUUUUAUAAGGGAAUAAAGUGAGAGUCGUGACUCUUUUUGCAUGUACCUUAUGAAUAAGGACCGGCUAAUUCCGUGCCAGCAGCCGCGGUAAUACGGAAGGUCCGGGCGUUAUCCGGAUUUAUUGGGUUUAAAGGGAGCGUAGGCCGGAGAUUAAGCGUGUUGUGAAAUGUAGACGCUCAACGUCUGCACUGCAGCGCGAACUGGUUUCCUUGAGUACGCACAAAGUGGGCGGAAUUCGUGGUGUAGCGGUGAAAUGCUUAGAUAUCACGAAGAACUCCGAUUGCGAAGGCAGCUCACUGGAGCGCAACUGACGCUGAAGCUCGAAAGUGCGGGUAUCGAACAGGAUUAGGUACCCUGGUAGUCCGCACGGUAAACGAUGGAUGCCCGCUGUUGGUCUGAAUAGGUCAGCGGCCAAGCGAAAGCAUUAAGCAUCCCACCUGGGGAGUACGCCGGCAACGGUGAAACCCAAAGGAAUUGACGGGGGCCCGCACAAGCAGUGGAGUAUGUGGUUUAAUUCGAAGCAACGCGAAGAACCUUACCAGGUCUUGACAUCGUAUGCUAUCUGUAGAAGUACAGAGUUCUCUCCGGAGACGUACAGACAGGUGGUGCAUGGUUGUCGUCAGCUCGUGUCGUGAGAUGUUGGGUUAAGUCCCGCAACGAGCGCAACCCUUAUGUUUAGUUGCUACGCAAGAGCACUCUAGACAGACUGCCGUUGACAAAACGGAGGAAGGUGGGGAUGACGUCAAAUCAUCAUGCCCCUUAUGACCUGGGCUACACACGUACUACAAUGGCCGUUAACAGAGGGCAGCGACACCGCGAGGUGAAGCGAAUCUCCAAAAACGGUCUCAGUUCAGAUUGCAGGCUGCAACCCGCCUGCAUGAAGAUGGAAUUGCUAGUAAUCGCGGAUCAGAAUGCCGCGGUGAAUACGUUCCCGGGCCUUGUACACACCGCCCGUCACACCAUGAGAGUUGGCAACACCCGAAGUCGGUAGGCGAACGCAAGAAGCCGCCGCCGAAGGUGGGGUCGAUGAUUGGGGUGAAGUCGUAACAAGGUA
rnacentral:rRNA from 1 species